AACUAGAGUCUUGUAGAGGGGGGUAGAAUUUCAGGUGUAGCGGUGAAAUGCGUAGAGAUCUGAAGGAAUACCGGUGGCGAAGGCGGCCCCCUGGACAAAGACUGACGCUCAGGUACGAAAGCGUGGGGAGCAAACAGGAUUAGAUACCCUGGUAGUCCACGCCGUAAACGAUGUCUACUCGGAGUUUGGUACCUU
rnacentral:rRNA from 1 species